rnacentral:lncRNA from 1 species
CAGCAAUCAUCGGGAAAGGGCUGCCCAAGAAUGCCAGGGGGGUAUCACCUCUGUGGGUGCUCUCCACGCACCCUAGAGCACUAGUAAGACAUUCACAUCUGUUCACAUCUGCCUUUAUUUCUGCCUGCACCUGUCACUGAAGCUUUAUCAGUCUCCUCAUCCAAGUUCAAAUCCCACAAACACUAAAGUCUAACUCAGAACCAAGGAGGGAAAAAUCUUCCAAGAUAUGCUGUUCCAGAUCUAUAAAGAGGAAAAGUAUAGAAGGAGCUGAUAAUGAUACCAAGUUAACCAUGGGGUUUCAGAAAUAUGGUGAUAAAUGACAAAACUUGAACAAGGCCAACGGUGAAUAGUAUAAUCCACCAUUAGCAGGAGAGUCAGGUAUAGAAGGACGGCCUCAUUCUAUACAUUUCACUGUCUGACUUAACUAUAAAAAAAUGCUAGCCUAGGUAGCCACGGGCAUCUUCAAGGAGGGGGUAUGCAUGUGUUGGUCUGUAGGGAUCUGAUGGGUACAUAGGAGCAUGAAGAAUAUUCCACAAGCUUGAAAUGGCCGUCAUGGGACUCAGCAAACCAAAUGGAAGGACUAUUCAUCUAAAUGUACAUUUUGAGGCAUUUCUCAUCCCUGUCUCCAGUUCCCAGCCCAACAUGGGCAGUGAAUAAAUAACUGCUGAAAAUAACAUGCCAUGUUUAGAACAUCUCGACCCCUUCAGGCAGUGGCCAUGAACACUCCUGCCUUCUAUUAUCUAUUAAAAAAGAAAGGAAAAAAGAAAGAAAAUUCCAGGAUCAGUAAGAAUUAAUAAAAGUUGCUUUUUAUUCCAAAAACUCACUAGCUCAGAGUGAGGCUGAGCCUCAUCAGAAUGAGGCUGCUUUUUAUUCUUUUUCAAUACAAUUUUUCCUAUGUAUCUCACUCAUGUCUAUAAAGAUAUGACAGGGUAAGAGAGGGAAAGAACAAAAUGGUAAGCAAACCAGAUAUUUAGAUGUAAAUAGGAAACGCACACUUGUUCUGCAUUCAAGAGGUACAGGAUUUGACAACCAUUACCCUGAGAACAGCCCUCUUGUCGCAGAUUUCUUCUCUCAUCUGCCCAUUUCCAGCGACAGAGCCAUCAUGAAGAAGGAUGUUCAAAGACAUCACAUCUAUAACCUUUGCCAAAGGCACACACAAUCUUUGGAAGGAAGACUUUUAUUUUCCCUGUCACCUUUAAUGCUGGAUAUACCAGCUGAAAGCUGAAUUCCAAGUAUAAGGUCACUGCUCGGAGACUUCCUAAAGACACAGAGCUUGAAAAGAAAUCCUUUCUGAAUGUCACCCUCAUUUCAGCUCACAUUUUCCUGAUCUGACCCAGAUGCACUAAUUGGCCCUGCUGUCAACAGAAAAAAAUAAAAUAAAAUAAGACAUUAUUUGCCAACAUUCCCCCAUAGAGGCAAUGGUGCCCGUAUGAGUCCAGGUCUCAGUUCAGGGUAAUUAAUUGAGAUACACACAGGAAAUGUCUGAUGCACAAUUUUGUAGCUCACAAAGCCAUGUUCUUUCUCUGGCAAAGAAUCCUGUGUAUUUUGUCUUGCUUGAGGAUUAGAAAGAACCAUUUAGAGAUCCAAAGCAAGAGAGUCAGAGAGUGAGUGUUUACCUCUUUCUCAUACUUUGAGAAUUCAGCAGUUUCAUUCUUUUAUAAUCUACAUUCCAUAGCACCCCCCUCUUCCCUCUUGCACCACACAGAGCAAGGCCAAAUCUCUCAAGCUACUGACCACAUCCAUCUAAUAGACGAGUGUUAUUUUACAUGAGCAGAAUAUUAAGAGACAAUUACAAAUUAGCCAAGGGCAACUGAGGAUUUCACCAAAAUUAGAGGAUUUGGCAACAGCAAGCAUUCAUCCUUACACAAAAACUGGCUGAAAUUAAGUAUAUUCAGCCUCCUUUAGGACCCUUGAAUGCAUUGUCCUCCCAGCCCUGUGUGCUUUUCUGUGCUCAGGUGCUACCCACUGUGCAGCUCACAAACCAGUAGAUCAACAUCACCUGGAAGUUCAUUAGAAAUGGAAAUUCACUCGCCCCACCCCAAAUUAUCCAAUCAGAAUCUCCAGGAAAAAGAGCCUAGCAAUCAGUUUUCACUAAAUCCUCAAGUGAUUCGUACACAUAGUAGGGUUUGGAAAACCCUGCACUAUGCUGAUUUUUUUUUUUAAUCUGCCUAGGUUUGUACCCCCACCCUUGGGCCUUCAUUAUUUUAGGAAUUUGACAUGGAGAGUGAAAACAAAAACACUGGUUUUCAUCUCCAGUAUGUUCAACAUAAGUGGUACAAUUAUUUUUUUUCCCCUAGCCAGGAUUAUAUUAUACAGACUAGUUGCUUUGGGACCUGCCAGAAAGCUUCAACUCAUAGAGGGUGAGUAAACUCCAUUGACACAUUUCGUUAUUAGUCAGUGACUUAUCCCUGAUUUGUUUUGCUUCAGAGGAUCUCUGAAAACUACCUUUGUUCUCUGGAGCUCCGUUAUUUUGCCAUUCUGAUUUUAUCUCCUCUCCAAAGGGCAGCAAAAGAAGUCUCAGGUUAAAACCAAAGUGAGAGAAAGGGCAAAAAUGGUCAAUCCCCUUCCCAAACACGUUUAAUCCCACAGGUCCUCUGGCUUGAACCACUUGCCUACAUUAGAGUGCAAAGUGACACCUCUCCCACUAGUGACAGGAGCUUAGCAUCCUUCAAUCACCAUGCAAAGCUAGAUCCCUUCUGCCUAAAGAAAGCAGCUUUAAAUGGCAGCCCCACUGAGUAACAUCAUAGGCUGGUAAUAGCUCUGUUAGAUGCUAUGUAAAGCAUCUUGACUAAACUCUUCAUUACCAUUUGAAAACAUCAGAUGCUUUAGAAUUGCUUCAGGUCUUUUAAAAUCUCAUCUUCUACUCCUGGCAGGACUAAGAAAUUCAGUAAGCCAGAAUAGAGCCUCAGCCCCGAGAUUCAAAAUUGCUAUGCCAUGUAAUAGUAUUUCACAUCUCUCUUUAGACCACCCAAAGCUGAAUGGUCUAAUUGUUCAUGCUCAAUUUAUUUGUGCUCCUUGGUUGCGUUCACAUGGACAGCGUGGAAAAAGCAUUCCAAUUAGCAACUGGUAGUUACAGUAAUUGAGGAAUCAGCUUCAAGGUUAUGGUAUUGAUUCAUUUUGAUAAUAUUAUAUAAGCUGUGAAAUUCUCUGAUAGUUCAAUGGACACGGAGAGCUACUGAGGUAAUAGCACAUGCUUAAUAAUAUUUCACACAACACAACAGAUUUGAAAAUGCAUUUCAAAAUAUGUACUUUUCAGCUUCACCAUGAAUUAGCAUACAGGAAUUCCACGGACCCUGAUAUCAGCUCAGAAUUGCAGCAAGGAGUCAGAGAUAUUUUCCCUAACAUAACUUUAGAGUGAAUAAACCUGCCCUUUUUUCAUCAAAACUGGACCUAAAAUGUAGUCACUCGUGUCAGAACCCAGUCUGGAAUGCCAGGAUUAUCUCUGAGCUUCACAGAAAAACACAUAAAUGAAUGAAAACUAUGAGCUGCCUCUAGGUACUCAGCCCUAGAAACUGGCUUUGGCUAACAGAGAAGGCUUAGCCUAUAGCAGCUUCUUUUGUUUGUCCCUAAAUAAUUGAGGAUGCUAACCCCACAACCACUGGGCAGGAAUGCUGCAAAGGGAUCAGACUUGAAGGAAAAGCAGCUGAGAAUAUGCUAGAAGUCUCUAUGUGCAUAUCCUGCAAGUCCAUCUCAGCUAAGGCGCAGGGACUCAAAGGAGCAAAACCCAAAUGCAGUCUGGUUUGUGUUGGGUCAAGUCCAAAACGCUCAGUUCUCACUCAAGGCCUCUGAAUUUGGUCUCUGUAUCUGACUUCCACUGUUCUGCCGCAGGAAUGCUGGUUUCACCUCUCUCCUAGGGACAACCUGUGUACGUCUGCUGGUGCGCCAGCAGAGUUGGUUUGCAGUCUUCGCCCUUAUCUGAAGAACAUCACUCUCUCUAUAUAUGAGGGGUUUUUUCCUUGAAGGCAAGCUCUGCCCCAUCUCCUUCUCCAAGAAUAUUUCCUGGAGUCCCAAGCCUCAAUCCUUUCCUUGUCUCUCUGCUUCACCACUAGUGAGAUAAACUACUAGGCAUGUGGCAGGUCCCACACACUCAGUCACCUUGCUGUCCCCUGCAGAAGGCAUCCGUGAGUGCCUGCUCCAUUUGUUUCUAUUUUUGCUUCUUGGUAUUUAAAUUGCAUAUCAUGCAGAGGCUUUGCUGCUUCACUCACCAUUUUGAAGGUGACAACAUUCGAUUUCACUAAUUGCUUCAAAGUAAGAAUACAGGAGAGGGAGGAAGAACGAGGCAGGUGGUGUGUGAGAGGUGGUCCUCCUGGACCUCAGCAUUGUGCCUCAGUAGAGAGGAGAGCCCAGCUGUCUGAGUCAGUACAAACUUAAUAAAUCAGGAAUGGUAAUAAAUCAGCAGCGUUUGGGGAACUCCAAUAGAAACAUUAAUGCUUCUGAAUGCAACUUAUGCCUGGCCAACAAGAGCAGGGCCGCACUCAUGCAAAUGCAAGCUUAAAAAGUCUAUGAUUUGGAUGAAUUUGCUCUAAUUCAACAAAUACAUACAGAGCAUCUAUUGUAUGCCAGGAGCUGCUCCAGGUGCAGGUGGAGAGCAGCUUUCAAGGCAGACACUGUCCACCCACAUGUGCCAUACAUACUAGUACCAAGAGGAACAUACCACGUAGGUGGCAGAAACGUUCAGUUUGUUCUCUGCCUCUGCAAUUCAGGUUUUGAGAUAGUUUUUGCAGGAUGGGUAGGAGUUUGCCAACAGGUAACAGCAUGCACAGAAGCAUGACAUUUUAACAUUGUGUGAUUUAUUUAGGAAAUUACAUACAGGUUCAGAGGCAGGGGCAGAAUCUGCAGUGACCAGGACACUUUUCAUGGAAAAAUCUUAAAUUCCCACUAAACCAGAACACUUGGAAUCACAGUCAAGGGUUGACUAUAGAUUUAUGGUAGCUUUUCCUUCAACUUUGGAUGAAAUCCCUAAAUGAACUAAAAAUAAUCUUUGUCAACAUCCACUUUGGCUUCAGAAGCAUCAGAUAGUAAACUACCUACAUGAAAAGAGCAGAGAUGAUUCAUAGCUCCUCUUUCCUCUGGGUCACCCUGCCACCAGGCCUGCUUUAGAGUCCUGCACACAGUGAUGCAGCUGAUGCCCAAUUAUCUAAAAAUAGGCACAACCAAUGCAUAGCAAAGAAGGAAAAGGAAUAAUCUAACCCAUCCGCAGACCACACCCAUCAUACCAUGAUGGGGAAAUCUUCCUGGGGGGCCUCUAGCUGGGGAAGUUCCUCCCUACAUUUCUUCUGGCUGCUACCAGUGCAUCUUUAUGUCCUUGAUAAAACACAUCAGUUAUCCCAUUAAAUUCAUGUGCACAAUGGUGAUUACAAUGGUGCACCACCAUUCCAAUAGCUUUGUUUAUGGUGGUGUGCAGGAUAAAUAUUUUACUUUCUGAUUAGUGCUUGAGUUUUAUCAGCCAUCACUAAAACCGGGGCAGAGUGACUGGAGACACGAAUCGAGAUAUUUACCAGCGCAAGGAGAUGAUACGCAGAUGCUAAUGGAAGCUCUGGGGGUAGUUUUCCAGGCUGUUGAAUGUAAUUUCUCAUAUCCCAAAAUGGCUGUAAAUGGAAACACCCUGAAAAGAAUUCUCUAAUGGCUAUGUGUAUGCAGCAGGGGAUCAUUGCAAAGUCAAUGUGCUAUGAAAAGCGGAUAUUCACUCAUUCAUUCAUUUGGUAUGGCGUAUGCUAAGGAUGUGGAAUGAAACAUGGAAACUCUUUGCCCCUCUGUCUGCUCAUUUUGUCUCCCUGACCCCAAACUCCAUCUCUGAUGAGAUACCCUUCCUUCCAAGAUGGAGGCUAAAACUCCUCCUCACUACCCUCCCAAACUUCCCAGUGACUCAUGUCUCCUGAAGAAUCACAGACAUACAUCUAUUGGCAUAAUUAGCAAAUUAUUAACUCUUUGCUUACCUCCUUUAUAUAGUUCACUGAUUUAUAAUUGCUUAAGAGCAAAGAACAUGAUUAAUGCUUCAUUGUAUUUAAUUCAAAGUCUUUUUCAAAUGUGCCCUUCAUCACACACACACACACACACACACACACACACACACACAAUCACCAUCUGUUAAUCUAUCAUCUAUCAUGCCACUGAAGCUAGAUUUAAAGAUAGGUAGUUAGUGUAGUUAGGUAAAUUGGGUCUAAUAUCAAGUAAGGUAAAUAAAAUGGAGGCCAUUAUAGAGAAUGGAGUCCAGGAAACCAGAGCAGCACUUGGGGAAAUUGAAAUGUUAAUGUCCCCAAGGCCUGGGACCCAUUCUAAGGAACUGGUAAUGAAACAGCUCCCAGCAAACAGGGAAAUGCUGAUCAAAAGCUGCCCCAGGCCCUUCCUGCCCAGAUUACUACUUCAGCCCACCUAUCUCCCACCUUUUGGGCCUUCCCACCUGCAUUCUACCACUGAAAGAUAAAGGGAAACAAAAGACUUGAGUGUGGGAAAGCUGAAAGAAGACCUUAGCUAUAAAAGAGGGAAGACCUCCCCCUUCCACGGAUUCUACCUUUUGGGUCCCCUUCUUCUUCCUGGGAGAAGUCCUUUCUGCUGUUCUUUAAUAAAGCUUCUACUUUCCACUCUAAACUUGCCUCGGCGUGCUUCUCUGGUCUUAUUCUUCAACAUUUGGGGAAGCAAGGACUUGUCACCAGUAAACAGCGGU